GUCAGCGCUUUGCCCCUCCGAAGGUUUAUUUUUAAUCGGCUGCACGGCAUGAGAGAGACCGAGGUUACGGAGCAAUGUGGGGACGGCCGGCUGUACAGGGUCGCCAAAUUCGGUCAGCUGGCCGGCGUGAUGUUUUCAAUUCGAGACACGAAUUUAUAUAUGCGUGAGAGUUGGCAACCCUGGGGUAUAUAAGACGGGCGGGGGGCACCCCCUCUGGAAGCACGUUGGACCCCGCAGGAAGACAGCCGCCUGGACAAAGGAUAAUGAGCCGUACGUUCCAGACCUCGAGCUGGUAUUACCUGGAAAGCAGGAAUGGCUCUGCUCCUGGAUGCUGACUGCUGACCUUACACGUCCAAACUAUGGGUAAUGGCAGCGUGUGACUAUGUGCCAAACCAGGAAACGAGCUGGUCAAUGCUGUGUCGCUUUUUCAAGCUCUUUGUAGUAUUUGAAUGAGAAACCCCCAGCUGGUGGAAUAAAAAUGUGUCUAUAGUAAUCAACUGGCUUAGGCUCCUAAACCCUGGUCACCAAAACAAUCUCCCCUGGGUUAAAUCAGCUAGUGAUGUAAAUCUCAGCAAUGGGAAUGAUGUUAUUUGUUUUUCAUCAGUAAUUUGCACACUUGUGUGUGAAUGUUUUUUUAAUGCCAGCCAAGAGAUUUCAGAGGGUAACUUUGUUCAACAAAUGAAUUGAGAUGUUUUCAUGUUUUUGGUGAUGAAAUACUGGCACCUUUUUUCCCACCUCGCUGUGUUUGUUAUUGCUGAUCUGGCUGCAGGUUUAGCAAAUACAUCUUAGAAGCGUGUGAAAUAUUUAUCUCUUUUUAAAUUAAGGUCAGAUCCUUAAAUCUGUCAUAAUCCCAAUUGUCAUGUUUGCGUUCCAUUAUUAUUUAUUCAUUUGUUUGUUUGUUUAUACAUACAGGUCACUGAGUGACUGAACCAGGUGGUAUUUUAUUUCAAAUGAUGUCUCCAAUCUGUUUUUUUUUUUUCUGGAUCAGAACAUACUUCUAGUCCACUUGUGCUCCAUUUGCAGGAUGCAUAUCCAGUCACCCCAGAUUACCCCAGACACAUAUUAAAUGUUUUACCGUUUAA